rnacentral:tRNA from 1 species
UCCCCGGUUGGUUAGCCGGUAAACCAGCGGAUUGUUAAUCCGUGACUGCAGGUUCGAAUCCUGCUCGGGGAGC